UACAGAGGGUGCGAGCGUUAAUCGGAAUUACUGGGCGUAAAGGGCGCGUAGGCGGAUGAUUAAGUUAGAUGUGAAAUCCCUGGGCUUAACCUAGGAACUGCAUCUAAUACUGGUUAUCUAGAGUGCGGUAGAGGAUAGUGGAAUUUCCGGUGUAGCGGUGAAAUGCGUAGAUAUCGGAAGGAACACCAGUGGCGAAGGCGGCUAUCUGGACUGACACUGACGCUGAGGCGCGAGAGCGUGGGGAGCAAACAGG
rnacentral:rRNA from 1 species